rnacentral:rRNA from 1 species
UACGGGGGGAGCAAGCGUUGUUCGGAUUUACUGGGCGUAAAGGGCGCGUAGGCGGCCACCGCAAGUCGACUGUGAAAUCUCCGGGCUUAACUCGGAAAGGUCAGCCGAUACUGCGGGGCUAGAGUGCAGAAGGGGCAACUGGAAUUCUCGGUGUAGCGGAUGAAAUGCGUAGAUAUCGAGAGGAACACCUGCGGCGAAGGCGGGUUGCUGGGCUGACACUGACGCUGAUUGUGCGAAAGCUAGGGGAGCGAACGGG